CUGCUGUGCACAGUUCCUGUGAUCGGUGCCGCUGAACUGUACCCCUAAACGAUGUGAAAACGAUGGAUGCAUGAUUUCGUGCACCGCGAUACCUCGGCCGCUGGCCACCCGCCCUGCGCGCCCUUCUCCGGGAUCCCCUCCCUGCGCGCGGGGCGUCCUCUUCCCACACAAGGAAAGUCGCGGCCCUCAGGGAGCAACAGCGCUGGGGCAUGGGGCUGUGGUCCAGGAGCAGCGGAUCUGGGAGAACGGGGUCCUGAGAAGAAGGAAAGGUUUCCUGAGAAGAUCCUGUGUCCAGUAUGGGUUGAGCAGCUCCCUCCACGUUCUUCCACUGUGCUGCUCCUGCCUUGGAGCCCUCUGACCAUGGACGGAACCCUGUGAAACCAUGAAACAAAAUAAACCUCUCCUCCUUUGAGUUGCAGUGCCUGGUAUUUGUCCCUCCUAUGUGAAUGUGACUAGCACAGGACCUAACCUACUGGAUACCACAGCUUGAUUUAGCCUUGAACCUUGAUCUUGAACUGCUCAGAACACUUAGGUUAGCCUAGAGGUGGGCAAAAUCAUCAAAUACAGAACUUCAUUAAACAUUGAGCGUCUCCUGGGUCCAGUGCACUGUAGCACGGCCACUCUUCCUCCUCCUGCUCACUCCUAUGCCCAGCAUCGCAAGAGUAUGGUACUGCACAUGGCUAGACUGG
ensembl:lncRNA